rnacentral:rRNA from 1 species
GGGGAAUAUUGGACAAUGGGCGCAAGCCUGAUCCAGCCAUGCCGCGUGAGUGAUGAAGGCCUUAGGGUUGUAAAGCUCUUUCGUCAGGGAAGAUAAUGACGGUACCUGAAGAAGAAGCCCCGGCUAACUUCGUGCCAGCAGCCGCGGUAAUACGAAGGGGGCUAGCGUUGCUCGGAAUCACUGGGCGUAAAGCGCACGUAGGCGGCUUUCUAAGUCAGAGGUGAAAUCCCGGGGCUCAACCCCGGAACUGCCUUUGAUACUGGAAAGCUUGAGUUCGGGAGAGGUGAGUGGAACUGCGAGUGUAGAGGUGAAAUUCGUAGAUAUUCGCAAGAACACCAGUGGCGAAGGCGGCUCACUGGCCCGAUACUGACGCUGAGGUGCGAAAGCGUGGGGAGCAAAC